UACGUAGGGACCAAGCGUUGUUCGGAUUUACUGGGCGUAAAGGGUGUGUAGGUGGCGCGCUAAGUCGGGGGUGAAAUUUCGGAGCUUAACUCCGAAACUGCAUUCGAUACUGGCGUGCUUGAGGACUGGAGAGGAGACUGGAAUUCAUGGUGUAGCAGUGAAAUGCGUAGAGAUCAUGAGGAAGACCAGUGGCGAAGGCGGGUCUCUGGACAGUUCCUGACACUGAGACACGAAGGCCAGGGGAGCAAACGGG
rnacentral:rRNA from 1 species